CCCAGGUAUGGCGACAUGGUACCAAAGACCAUAGCAGGGAAGAUUUUUGGUUCCAUCUGCUCACUGAGUGGCGUGCUGGUCAUUGCACUACCCGUGCCUGUGAUCGUGUCCAAC
rfam:Cricetulus griseus cell line CHO-K1, whole genome shotgun sequence.